rnacentral:rRNA from 1 species
UACGUAGGGUGCAAGCGUUGUCCGGAAUCAUUGGGCGUAAAGCGCGCGUAGGCGGCCCGAUAAGUCUGCUGUAAAAGUCAACGGCUCAACUGUUGAAAGCCGGUGGAUACUGUCGGGCUAGAGUACGGAAGAGGCAAGUGGAAUUCCUGGUGUAGCGGUGGAAUGCGCAGAUAUCAGGAGGAACACCUAUAGCGAAGGCAGCUUGCUGGGACGUUACUGACGCUAAGGCGCGAAAGCGUGGGGAGCGAACAGG